GUCUAACGGAAUUUAUUCAUAUUAAAAAAUUGCUUUUAACAAUAAAUAUUUAGUGAUUGUCGCUGGCUCCAAACCUCCAGCAAGACGGAGCGGGUUUGAACCCGGGACCAUCGAUAAAUCUGAACGACAGUCCAGCGAACAAACCGUACCACCAGGCAGCCAUCUUCCUCUCUGGACGAAUUUUAAAAAAUGCGUACGUUUAAGCAGAUGUGUCACGGGUUUGAUACCCAAAUAAACCAAUUCGCCUUAUGAAUGUAUUCUGGUUACUGAUGCGAAUGUCUGUCAAAGAUCUUACCAAAUUGCUGAGAGAAGAGAACACAUCUGAGUCAGCUUUUAUCAUCCUCAAGGUUUGUCUUGUAACUCCCGGGUUCGAAUCCUAGUAAAGCCUCUAGGUGGACCACUUCGGGGGCCAAUUUUGAGUUUGUGUUUCCACACAAACUAUCUUUGUAACAUUGUUAUUUAUUUGAAACACACAAA